GCCAGCAUGGUGUAGUGGUUUGAGUGUUGGAAUAGGACUCCAAGGGACUAGGGUUCAAAUCCCUGCUCAGCCA